AAUCUUGCACAAUGGGGGAAACCCUGAUGCAGCGACGCCGCGUGAGUGAAGAAGUAUUUCGGUAUGUAAAGCUCUAUCAGCAGGGACGAUAAUGACGGUACCUGACUAAGAAGCCCCGGCUAACUACGUGCCAGCAGCCGCGGUAAUACGUAGGGGGCAAGCGUUAUCCGGAUUUACUGGGUGUAAAGGGAGCGUAGGUGGCAUGGUAAGUCAGAUGAGAAAACCCGGAGCUUAACUCCGGGAUUGCAUUUGAAACUGCCUUGCUAGAGUGCAGGAGAGGUAAGCGGAAUUCCUAGUGUAGCGGUGAAAUGCGUAGAUAUUAGGAGGAACAUCGGUGGCGAAGGCGGCUUACUGGACUGUAACUGACACUGAGGCUCGAAAGCGUGGGGAGCAAACG
rnacentral:rRNA from 1 species